rnacentral:rRNA from 1 species
UACGGGGGGAGCAAGCGUUGUUCGGAUUUACUGGGCGUAAAGGGCGCGUAGGCGGCCUCUGCAAGUCAAUUGUGAAAUCUCCGGGCUUAACUCGGAAAGGUCAACUGAUACUGCAGGGCUAGAGUGCGGAAGGGGCAACUGGAAUUCUCGGUGUAGCGGUGAAAUGCGUAGAUAUCGAGAGGAACACCUGCGGCGAAGGCGGGUUGCUGGGCCGACACUGACGCUGAUGCGCGAAAGCCAGGGGAGCGAACGGG